GUCAGUUUUGCCUACAACAGCGGUCCCCACCGACUGCUAGUGUCCCCACCGGGAUGCAACACGCUCAAUUUGCGGAAAGGCCCUUUCGGGGGAAAUCCGCAGCCAACCUCCUUACCCGGAGAUCGGUUCAGAGACUCGAUGAGUGUGGGUCUGGCCUCCGCCAGAUCUGAGAUAGAGCCCACCCCCGCUGGCAACUUCAGGGAAGCAAGUGGAACCUGCGGAAGGAUCAUUAAAGAAUAACAAGGCCUCCGGGCCCUAUUCUCACCCUUUGUAUACUUAACUUUGUUGCUUUGGCGGAAACGUCAGAGGACCGAAACCCUUGAAUCUCUGCUGUCUGAGUACUAUAUAAUAGUUAAAACUUUCAACAACGGAUCUCUUGGUUCUGGCAUCGAUGAAGAACGCAGCGAAAUGCGAUAAGUAAUGUGAAUUGCAGAAUUCAGUGAAUCAUCGAAUCUUUGAACGCACAUUGCAGCCUCCGGCAUUCCGGAGGCUAUGCCUGUUCGAGCGUCAUUACAACCCUCAAGCUCUGCUUGGUAUUGGGCUCGCCCCCGGGCUUGCCUCAAAGUCAGUGGCGGCACCGUCUGACCUUAAGCGCAGUAAUACUCGCCGCUUGUAGCCUCAGAGGGAUUGCUUGCUAAGAACCCCCACUUUACAAAGGUUGACCUCGGAUCAGGUAGGGAUACCCGCUGAACUUAAGCAUAUCAAUAAGCGGAGGAAAAGAAACCAACAGGGAUUGCCUCAGUAACGGCGAGUGAAGCGGCAACAGCUCAAAUUUGAAAGCUGGCUCCUUCGGGGCCCGCAUUGUAAUUUGUAGAGGAUGCUUCGGGCGUGGCACUAGUUUAAGUUCUUUGGAACAAGACGUCAUAGAGGGUGAGAAUCCCGUAUGUGACUGGUCGCCUAUGCCCAUGUGAAGCUCCUUCGACGAGUCGAGUUGUUUGGGAAUGCAGCUCAAAAUGGGUGGUGUAUUUCAUCUAAAGCUAAAUAUUGGCCAGAGACCGAUAGCGCACAAGUAGAGUGAUCGAAAGAUGAAAAGCACUUUGGAAAGAGAGUUAAACAGUACGUGAAAUUGUUGAAAGGGAAGCGCUUGCAAUCAGACUUGCGCGGCGUCGAUCAGCUUGGGUUCUCCCUUGUGCACUCGGCGCCGCUCAGGCCAGCAUCAGUUUCGGCGGUGGGAUAAAGGCCUAGGGAAUGUGAGUCUCUUCGGAGACUGUUAUAGCCCUAGGUGCCAUGCCGCCUGCCGGGACUGAGGACCGC
rnacentral:rRNA from 1 species